rnacentral:rRNA from 1 species
CCAGCAGCUGCGGUAAUUCCAGCUCCAAUAGCGUAUAUUAAAGUUGCUGCAGUUAAAAAGCUCGUAGUUGGAUUUCUGGCUUGAUAUAUUUUGCCGGCCACGGUUUCGUGUGUUAGUGCUUGAUAUUCUGGCCAUCCUUCCAAUGGCUAUUCAUCCUUCUUCAUUGAGGUGGUGAGUGGUAUUGGAUCUUUUACUUUGAAAAAAUUAGAGUGUUUCAAGCAGGCUUUAUGCUAUGAAUACAUUAGCAUGGAAUAAUAAUUUAGGACUUCGGUUCUAUUUUGUUGGUUUCUAGGACUGAAGUAAUGAUUGAUAGGGAUAGUUGGGGGUGCUAGUAUUCAGCGGCCAGAGGU